rnacentral:lncRNA from 1 species
CCAGUCUCCAUCUCCUCCAGUUAUGGUUGGCUCACCAACAAAUUCCUCAAUGUCCAAAAACACUAGCAGCCCAAGGACAACAAUUCAACCUCAAGACCUGCAAUAACAGUUCAUUUUCAAACCACCAAACACGUUAAAUCCUGGAAUAUGAAAAGGAAAAUAAACAACAGUCCGAUUCGCCACCGUUUCAACCUCGUCGUGCGCGUUCGAGAAUCAACUUCGAAGUCUCUCCCCUGAAAAAGUAAGAGACUGUGAUGAAGAGAAAGAGAAUAUUAAGCAUUCAGCAAAUAGGGUAUCUCCAAAGAAUAGGCCAUGGGCUAGAAAAAACAGUAUUGUUUUCCAACCCUUUAUUCUCUUCAACUUCUUCGCAUCAGCAAGAAUUCUGCAAGACAAAAUCACCUGUCGUGUCAACAACGCCACACGAGUUUCGAAUCAAAUCACCGUAUAAGGUUCUGAUCACAUCACCAAGUAGCAGACCCUGCAUAAUCCUACAUGGAAGCUUCAAAAACCAGUUCAUUAAGGCAACAAGCAGGUGGGAAACAAUGGACAAUAAUCCUUCAUUGAAGCUUAUUAUAAGUCAGUGGAAUCAUGACCCUGAACGAGUCCCCAAAACAUUAAACAUAAACACCUGUGUGAUGCCUACCAAGCCUGUACAACAAGACCAGCAGGGAUACCUAAACGUCACAUACUUAACAUGGUCAAUGCAGAUCAAAGUCCAUUAGCAAUAGCUAACCAUUCAUCUUACCCAAUGCAGCAAGCCAAAGCAUAAUGACAAAUAGUCCAAGCAACCAUGCAAACUCAGUCCCUACAUCAGCCUANNN